AGCCUUAGUAGCUCAGUUGGUCAAAGCGUAGCUGCACGCUGAGGGCGCGGGUUCAAUACCUGCCUGGUUG